UGGGGAAUUUUGGACAAUGGGCGAAAGCCUGAUCCAGCAAUGCCGCGUGUGUGAAGAAGGCCUUCGGGUUGUAAAGCACUUUUGUCCGGAAAGAAAUCCUUGGCUCUAAUACAGUCGGGGGGAUGACGGUACCGGAAGAAUAAGCACCGGCUAACUACGUGCCAGCAGCCGCGGUAAUACGUAGGGUGCAAGCGUUAAUCGGAAUUACUGGGCGUAAAGCGUGCGCAGGCGGUUUGCUAAGACCGAUGUGAAAUCCCCGGGCUCAACCUGGGAACUGCAUUGGUGACUGGCAGGCUAGAGUAUGGCAGAGGGGGGUAGAAUUCCACGUGUAGCAGUGAAAUGCGUAGAGAUGUGGAGGAAUACCGAUGGCGAAGGCAGCCCCCUGGGCCAAUACUGACGCUCAUGCACGAAAGCGUGGGGAGCAAACAGGAUUAGAUACCCUGGUAGUCCACGCCCUAAACGAUGUCAACUAGUUGUUGGGGACUUCAUUUUCCUUAGUAACGUAGCUAACGCGUGAAGUUGACCGCCUGGGGAGUACGGUCGCAAGAUUAAAACUCAAAUGAAUUGACGGGGUCAUAGCUGUUUCCU
rnacentral:rRNA from 1 species